UGAGUCAGCCAGGCGGCCGCGUCGGGACCUCCGGGUCCUGCCGAGGAACGUCCGGGCUCCGUAGGGCAGGGUGGUGGGUAACGCCCACCCGGGGUGACCCGCGGGACAGUGCCACAGAGAACAGACCGCCACGUCGGACCGGUCCGCCGGGCCGGCGGGGUAAGGGUGAAACGGUGGUGCAAGAGACCACCAGCGCACCGGGUGACCGGUGCGGCUAGGUAAACCCCACCCGGAGCAAGGCCAGACAGGGAGCGUUCGAGGGUUGCCCGCCCGAGCUCCCGGGUAGGCCGCUGGAGGCGUGCGGCAACGUACGUCGUAGAUGGAUGGUCGCCACCCGUGCGCCGGGCAACCGCGCACGGGGACAGAACCCGGCGUACCGGCUGGCUCAUCCG
rfam:Cellulomonas flavigena DSM 20109, complete genome.